GACGAACGCUGGCGGCGUGCUUAACACAUGCAAGUCGAGCGGUAAGGCCCUUUCGGGGGUACACGAGCGGCGAACGGGUGAGUAACACGUGGGUGACCUGCCCUCAGCUCUGGGAUAAGCCUGGGAAACCGGGUCUAAUACUGGAUAUGACUCCAUGACGCAUGUUGUGGGGUGGAAAGCCUUGUGCGGCUGAGGAUGGGCCCGCGGCCUAUCAGCUUGUUGGUGGGGUGAGGCCUACCAAGGCGACGACGGGUAGCCGGCCUGAGAGGGCGACCGGCCACAC
rnacentral:rRNA from 1 species